AUGGCGUCAGUUUCCGGUUCGAUUGGUUCGGAUGUGAAGAAUGAAAUGAGGAGUCAUGAAGUCGCCAUAGCCGAGCUUAACGCCUUACCUUCUUCCAGAACUGUCUAUCAGAAAAACGGGAACUUGUUUUUUCGCACAACCGUCCAAGCAGCAACGAGCAUGGAGCAGAAGCAACUUUAUUCAGCCACAGCCAUGCUAAAGAAUCUGAAUUCUUCUGUAUAG